rnacentral:rRNA from 1 species
UACGAAGGGGGCGAGCGUUGUUCGGAAUCACUGGGCGUAAAGGGCGCGUAGGCGGCUUUAUAAGUCGGGGGUGAAAGCCUGUGGCUCAACCGCAGAAUUGCCUUCGAUACUGUAGAGCUUGAGACCGGAAGAGGUAAGUGGAACUGCGAGUGUAGAGGUGAAAUUCGUAGAUAUUCGCAAGAACACCAGUGGCGAAGGCGGCUUACUGGUCCGGUUCUGACGCUGAGGCGCGAAAGCGUGGGGAGCAAACAGG